UAAAAGUCCCAUCUCGGACAAAACUCUAAUAAACACGAAUUAAACCUAAGAGUUUUAAUUCGGAAGGUAGGAGAAGCUACAGAUGGAGUGUUAAUAAGGACUCGGGGGUUUCACAAUUCGUACGAAUUUGUUUUCUACACGGAGAUCAUUACGAUGUUCACCAUAAAAGGGACUCUUGACAUCUUUAAGAUUAUAUGAAUACUUUAGAUACCUUUCGAUGUUCUUUCAAUAAUUUUUCAGGGACAUUGUGAUCUUCAAUCUAACCUAAAUCCGUUGGAGUAUAAGGUAUUGUUACGAGCUUCGGUUAACACCUGCAAUUCUGCAAUCCUGCAUCAACUUUGAAUUUGAAGUUACCUAGCAGUAUUUUGAGAUUCGAGAAAGAUAAAGAUCAUAACUUGGUAUUGAAUUGUAACGGAGUGAAUCCAUGAUCGACAACAUAUAUUUUCUCUAAAUUGGUAAAGUAUCUCUUUCAAAGCUCUUGGAAGAGGUCUGAAAUUGAAACAACAAAUCUUUCCGGGAAAAGGGAUGCUUCAAGUUGCGUUUUAGUCUUUCAUCCAUUGCCGGGAGAGCUCAAAACGAUCCAAAUUCUCUUUCAUUGGUUCCUGUUUAAGGCAA